CCAUCACCGAAGCAAAUUUAUUUCAUAUUUUGUCCAUAUUUAAGCCAACCGAGAUUGUCAUCUCCCUUUGUAUUCCACAUAAGAAACACAGUCCUACAGGUUUGAAACAUGAGAGUGAGUAAAUAAUAAUAUAACCUUAACCACUGUAUGAACUAUUCCCCUUUUCAAUUCUAUUGCAUGUAUGCUACAUACAUUUUUUAUUUAAUAUUUACUUACAGGCCUGUUAGGUAUGUUUAAUGUCAGCAGUUGACAUUUGCGAAUCUGCGGGGGUUAUUGCUUGGAUUUCUUUGUUGGGAGUGUAAAAACACACCCGCCUAACUUAUAUAGCCUAGGUUACAGCUGAGUGUUUAUACAAACUACGACUAAAGUACGAUCACGUAGCGAAAUAAAUGCAUUUAAAGUUUGGAUAAGCUGAAACCAGACACACGGAAGUGAGAACGAGUAUCGCACAGCACAUCUGAGGCUCUGUGUUUAGAUGAACAGCUGAACAUUCCUCAGUGAGUGAGCGACCUCUGAUGGACGGAGCUCGAGCUCCUGAAUCACAGCGCGCGCCGUUCACGGACGGAGGAUCUGUCCAGAGGAUCCUGACAGCCCGAGGCACUGUCGACAAACUUCACCUAGGGGCAAAAACGUGAGAAAGGAGGACAAACAAAAUAAAAAAGUCAUCUCAGUGCACAAGAUAGUCGAUAGAGUGAGCAGAACAAGACAGGGCAACCUUGAGCGGGUGAAAAAGACAGUUUGAAGAAGUACACAGGCUCCUGUGUGUGACCUAUCGUCUGUGUCCCUGGGAAAGCGGCUCUGCUUUGGCCCAAUGCAGAGAUCAUCUGUCAGUUCAUGUCACAUGAGGACGUGUGUCUGUCUGUUCUCUGAUCCAGCAUCAGUCUGCUGAAGGCCUCAAGCGUUCAUCACCCUGAAACCCAGCAGGGCUUUCACACUGUCCCACUCCUCUGAUUCUGCCUCUUCUCCUCCUGCGUGCCUCUCUCAGCCCUUCCUGGAGACCCCAGGGCACCUCAUCCCUAAUGGAGAGCAGGGAGAGGGAUGCGGGACCCUCGCUCAGGAGAUCUGCCUCGCUCCUGGGAACCUGAAGGAGGAUCGUCCGCAGGCACAGGCCUUCCAUGAUGUCUCUACUCUCACAGACCUGUGCUCCAGUGUGGACCUGCCAGAGGUGGAGAUUGUCAGCUUGCUCACAGAAGAAUUGCCCAAAUACACUCUGCGGGCAGACCAUGUGUUUGGGUACGAGCAUGACGACUGGCUGCACACACCUCUGCUGCCACCAGAGAGCGCUCUUGAACUCACUCAGGAGCAGAUCGACGAGACGCUCAAGUACUUCUUGCUGUGUUCAGAGAGAGUUGGUCAAAUCACAAGGACGUAU